rnacentral:sRNA from 1 species
GGGCAGUAGUUUCACAACUUUGGACUUGCAUCAGAUUCAUCAGCAGAGCUUGUUAAAACAGAUAGCUGGGCUCCAGCCCCAGAGUUUUUCUUAUUCAUUGGGUUUGGGGUCUGGCCUGAGAAUUUCAUUUCUUUUUUUUUUUUUUUUUUUUCUUGAGACAGAGUCUCGCUCUGUCGCCCAGGUUGGAGUGCAGUGGCACAAUCUCGGCUCACUGCAAACUCCGCCUCCUGGGUUCGCGCCAUUCUCCUGCCUUAGCCUCCUGAGUAGCUGGGACUACAGGCACCCGCCACCAUGCCUGGCUAAUUUUUUGUAUUUUUAGUAGAGACGGGGUUUCACCGUGUUAGCCAGGAUGGUCUCGAUCUCCUGACCUUGUGAUUCGCCUGCCUUGGCCUCCCAAAGUGCUGGGAUUACAGGCAUGAACCACCGCGUCCGGCCGAGAAUUUCAUUUCUAACAAGUUCCCAAAGAUGCUGGUGCUCCUGGUCUGGGGGCCACCCUUUGGGAACCACUUUCUUAGGGAAUAUUUGUGGUAUAGAAGUGUAGUUAACAGUGAUCUUUUUCCUUCAGGGGGUGAAUCUCUACAUUAAGAACUUGGAUGACACUAUUGAUGAUGAGAAAUUAAGGAAAGAAUUUUCUCCUUUUGGAUCAAUUACCAGUGCUAAGGUAAUGCUGGAGGAUGGAAGAAGCAAAGGGUUUGGCUUCGUCUGCUUCUCAUCUCCUGAAGAAGCAACCAAAGCAGUCAC